rnacentral:rRNA from 1 species
GAUGAGCGCUAGCUACAGGCUUAACACAUGCAAGUCGCGGGGUAACAUUGCUCUAGCUUGCUAGAUCAGAUGAAGACCGGCGCACGGGAGAGUAACGCGUAUCCAACAUGCCUUUUACCACGGGAUAGCCCCUCGAAAGAGGGAGUACUACCGUAUGGGGUCACGAGCAGUCAUCUAAUCUUGACGAAAGGUAGAGCGGUAAAAGAUGGGGAUGCGUCUGAUUAGGCAGGUGGCGGAGUAACGGCGCACCAAACCGACGAUCCGGAGGGGUUAUGAGAGGAAGGUCCCCCACAUUGGAACUGAGACACGGUCCAAACUCCUACGGGAGGGAGCAGUGAGGAAUAUUGGUCAAUGGUCGCAAGACUGACCCAGCCAAGUAGCGUGAGGGAAGACUGCCCUAUGGGUUGUAAACCGCUUGUAUCUGGGAAUAAAGUGAGCCACGUGUGGCUUAUUGCAGGUACCAGAAGAAGAAGGACCGGCUAAUUCCGUGCCAGCCGCCGCGGUAA